UUUCCUCUCUGCAGGUGAAUGCACCAAGGAAAGACUUACAGAUUCUUUUUUGUAUGUUUGUUUGUUUUGUUAGUUUAUUUUUAAGAAAAAAGAAAAAAAAGUUUACCCAAGGCUGUGAAGAGGGUUCUGAAUGCUUAUCCCCCAGAUCUAAAAUUUCGCUUAUCCUGCAGACCUCACUCCAUGAGAGAGAGUAGAUAUACUGACCCAGAGAACUUUUCCACCUCAGCGUUUGAGUCUUGGAGCAAAAUACCAACACAAGGUUGAAAAAAAGCAUUGGCAGCCCCAGCCACAUGAAGAUCAGUUCUGUGCCUAUAUCACAUGGAGUGUUGAAGGCAAGAUGGUAUCUGCAGGCCUGAUGAUGGUGGGCUGGGUGCUGCCACAUACACAUCUCCACAAGUUGCCUCAGCAUUGCAGCAGGCUGCUGCCAGCCUGGCCCAUCAGUUAACAUUAUAAGACUUUCUGGAGAUAGCUCCUGAGAAAACAAGCUGUACCUGACUUGAUCAUGUGGCAAUUUGUGCUGGUGGGCUUCUUGCUUUUCACUUCAGACUACAAGGUCUAGCUGUCCAGCUGGGCUGUAACACUGAUUGUUCUCCAGGGCUUCCAGAUCUGUCUGAAGUUAUGAUGAAAAUAUAAAUUAGUUGCAAUUGUAGCUGGCUCCUCCCUACAAGGUGUGUUGUGAGGUGUCUGCGUUGGAUGCAUGGAAAUCUAGAGCAGAAAUGGACAAAGCCCCUGAGAACCAUCUCCCAGACAUUGAAGACAGAAGAAAAGUUCGUCAAACAAGAAUGCUACCAUGGUACUUGAUUCUUAGCAGAAGUAUUAACAUUGCCUUUCUUGUUUGGUUUUCUCCUAACACUCACAAAUGAUUUUUUAGAAAGGUAUAUUAAUAUGUAAGGGAAAAUUUUUGGUGAGUGGGUUGGUUGUAUUGUGGAGAGAUAAAAUCUCUGUGAACAUGAGAGAUGAUCUGUAUGCUGGAGCAGAGGGAGAAUAACUAUCCUUGUUUGGUUUUAUUGGUUUUAUUCAUUUUAUUCUGCUGAUAUUGGCUGUCUGCUGGCUUUUCUUUGCAAAAGCUGAAUGGAAAUUAGGAAGUAUUUGUAUCUGAGGCUCCAUAAAAGAAGCAUCCAGAGUUUGCAUUGACAGUUUAAUCUAAUGACAAAUGCCAGGCACUUUUUUUUUUGUUAUUUCAAAAAAAAAAAUUUUUUUAAAAAUUGUAAGAUUUUUAAAUUACCUCAAUCUGAUUAUAUCAACAUUUCUGGACUCAAGCAGCUUCCAGAUCUUACGUUCAACAUUUCCCCUACUGUUAGCUUCAUACUUGGCUUGCAACAG